AGCCUUGAGGUGUUUAACAUGCUAGAUUGCAAAUCUUGAGUAGCAAAUUAACGUUUGCCGGGGCUU
rnacentral:tRNA from 1 species